GAACCCUUGCCUUCUAUCUUGAGACUUAGAAUAAUCCAAGACAUUCAACAUGGCAAAGGCUGUAGCGACACUCUUCAUUCUCGUAACUGAGGUUUUUACCAUGAUGCCCACAAUAGUAUCAAGCCAUAAUAUCUUCCCACCAAUUCCCAAUGUCCCAAUAGCUCGAGGAUCUCCAAUAAUUCCUAAGGCUCCAAUAGGAAGUGGCUCUACAUCGUCUCCUAGUGUACCCUCAUCAGCUAGCCCUUCAAAAGGUUCUACUGGAGAAAAGCCAUGUCCAGAAGGCUUUCCAAAGCUGGUGUCUUGUACAAACUUGCUUGGCAUUAACCUGCGCUUAGGUGGAGGUAAUGUUACAAAAGAGUGUUGUCCUAUUAUAGAAGGCGUUUUGUCCACAGGCACAGCAUUAUGUUUCUGUAAAACACUUAAGGCUAAACUUCUGGGUAUGGAUUUGGUCAUCCCGGUAGCUCUCCAGAUAUUUGAUACAUGCGGAUUGAAUCCUCCAGAAGGAUUCACAUGUCCAGAUAUAUGAGAUGCAGGUCCAGAAUAAAGCUUGAAGAUUAAAGAACAGAAGGUCUUAGUUACUUUUGGUAAACAAUGUGUAUAAUUGACUAUUAUGUAGUUGUUCAUUAAAUAAGCGUCAACUCUUGUGCAAAUCUUUGUAUUGUUCUUAUAAAUGCUUGUUUUAGCAAAUGAAGUACUGAAAUAAAAGCUUCUCUCGUCUUUACUA